rnacentral:rRNA from 1 species
UACGGGGGGAGCAAGCGUUGUUCGGAUUUACUGGGCGUAAAGGGCGCGUAGGCGGCCACCGCAAGUCACUUGUGAAAUCUCUGAGCUUAACUCAGAACGGCCAAGUGAUACUGCUGUGCUAGAGUGCAGAAGGGGCAAUCGGAAUUCUUGGUGUAGCGGUGAAAUGCGUAGAUAUCAAGAGGAACACCUGAGGUGAAGACGGGUUGCUGGGCUGACACUGACGCUGAGGCGCGAAAGCCAGGGGAGCAAACGGG